rnacentral:rRNA from 1 species
CUACGUGCCAGCAGCCGCGGUAAUACGUAGGGCGCGAGCGUUGUCCGGAAUUAUUGGGCGUAAAGGGCUUGUAGGCGGUUGGUCGCGUCUGCCGUGAAAUUCUCUGGCUUAACUGGGGGCGUGCGGUGGGUACGGGCUGACUUGAGUGCGGUAGGGGAGACUGGAACUCCUGGUGUAGCGGUGGAAUGCGCAGAUAUCAGGAGGAACACCGAUGGCGAAGGCAGGUCUCUGGGCUGUAACUGACGCUGAGAAGCGAAAGCAUGGGGAGCGAACAGGAUUAGAUACCCUGGUAGUCCAUGCCGUAAACGUUGGGCACUAGGUGUGGGGGACAUUCCACGUUUUCCGCGCCGUAGCUAACGCAUUAAGUGCCCCGCCUGGGGAGUACGGCCGCAAGGCUAAAACUCAAAGAAAUUGACGGGGGCCCGCACAAGCGGCGGAGCAUGCGGAUUAAUUCGAUGCAACGCGAAGAACCUUACCAAGGCUUGACAU